rnacentral:rRNA from 1 species
CUUGGUCAUUUAGAGGAAGUAAAAGUCGUAACAAGGUCUCCGUUGGUGAACCAGCGGAGGGAUCAUUAUCGAGUUAUUCAACUCCCAAACCCUAUGUGAACUUACCACUUGUUGCUUCGGCGCGCGCUUCGGCGCCGCCGAGGACACUUAAACUCUUUGUUUUUAUAAGCAUUUCUGAGUGGCCGAAAGGCAAAAAUACAAACGAAUCAAAACUUUCAACAACGGAUCUCUUGGUUCUGGCAUCGAUGAAGAACGCAGCGAAAUGCGAUAAGUAAUGUGAAUUGCAGAAUUCAGUGAAUCAUCGAAUCUUUGAACGCACAUUGCGCCCGCCAGCAUUCUGGCGGGCAUGCCUGUUCGAGCGUCAUUUCAACCCUCGAGCCCGACUCUUUUGAGGACGGCUCGGCGUUGGGGGACGGCAGACUCCCCCCGGCAUCUCGCCGGGGACGCCGCCCCCGAAAUCUAGUGGCGGCCCUCCGAGGCGACCUCUGCGUAGUAACUUGUUCUCGCACCGGAAAGCUCAGAGCGGCCACGCCGUAAAACCCCAACUUUUUUCAGGUUGACCUCGAAUCAGGUAGGACU